rnacentral:misc_RNA from 1 species
GGAAUGUUCAUCUCUGUACAACAAAAAAUUUGUAAUUGGAACUUCAGCUUUCUUUCCAAGAACCCCUGAGAAUGUUAACUACCACACUUUUCCAUCAACCUGUACUUUUCCAUUAAAUUCUACAAAACCCUUUGCUACCCUUUCUUCUUCUUUUACAGUGAAGUGUUAUGGUCAGAAUUAUGGGGAUGAAGAACCUCUUUCUGCUUCUCUGGCAUAUGAUGUUCUUGGUGUUGCUCCGAAUUGCUCUACAGAUGAGCUGAAAUCUGCUUUCAGGAAUAAGGUUAAGAAGUUUCAUCCUGAUGUAUGGAGAGAUGGGAAUGGUUCGGAUAAAAUGAUUCGCCGAGUCAUUCAAGCCUAUGAGAAGUUGUCCAACUUCACAAAGUCAGAGAUAAUUGAAAGGGAAUGCUUAGAUCCGUUUGAUCAGCCAGAAGGUGAAGCAUUUGAUCUCUUUGUUAAUGAGACUGUUUGUAUUGGAAAAGGUUGCCCAUUUUCAUGCGUUAAGAAAGCACGUCAUGCAUUCACUUUUUCCUCGUUGACAGGAACUGCACAAGCAACUUCUCAAGGACAUGGUGAAGAUUACCAAGUCCAUCUUGCAGCUGGACAAUGCCCCAGGAGUUGCAUACAUUAUGUUACACCUUCUCAAAGAAUAGUUCUUGAAGAGCUACUUGGCAGCAUCAUGAGCACACCUUAUGAUACAUCAGCAGAAGCAGACUUGCUUUAUUCACUAAUUGUAAAAGCUCGUUUUGAGAACAAUCGCUACCAGAAGCCCAAGAAGCAACCUAAGGCCUCAACCGAACAUGUAGACUGGUUCUAAAUCUUGAAAGUCCUCAUAGAAAACCACCUUGUUUUGUGUAGACUCGGAAUAUGAAUAGAGACUGCCACUUCAAAGGCUAUGCAAUGCUGAAGUUUAUCACAUGAACGAUGGGGGAAAUUUGAUUUGAGUUGACUGUCAACCUUAUGCUAUGUUAUCGAAGUCCUAAAUGGUCUUCACUCAGCAGCAGCAUAAUGAAAUGCUGGGCACAAGUGUUGGGAAAAGCAGCUGCAACUGACUGUCUGAAUAUCUGGUAAUAUGAGAUUGAUGUAAAUAUUUACUUAUCUUAUUUUUUAUGUUGGAUUAUGUUGUUUUACGCCCCACAAAAUGAUAGAUUAAAACUCCAUGUCUGUAUGAAAAUUGAAAUGAUACAGUUGAAGCAAA